rnacentral:rRNA from 1 species
CAGUCGCCACGGGAAAACGUAGGGUGCAAGCGUUAAUCGGAAUUACUGGGCGUAAAGCGCACGCAGGCGGUUUGUUAAGUCAGAUGUGAAAUCCCCGAGCUUAACUUGGGAACUGCAUUUGAAACUGGCAAGCUAGAGUCUUGUAGAGGGGGGUAGAAUUCCAGGUGUAGCGGUGAAAUGCGUAGAGAUCCGGAGGAAUACCGGUGGCGAAGGCGGCCCCCUGGACAAAGACUGACGCUCAGGUGCGAAAGCGUGGGGAGCAAACAGGAUUAGAUACCCCGGUAGUCCCUGUCUCUUAUAC